rnacentral:rRNA from 1 species
UACAGAGGUCUCGAGCGUUGUUCGGAUUCAUUGGGCGUAAAGGGCGCGUAGGCGGCGGGGUAAGUCUGGUGUGAAAUCUCGGAGCUCAACUCCGAAAUUGCACUGGAUACUGCUCUGCUAGAGGGCUGGAGAGGAGAUCGGAAUUCACGGUGUAGCAGUGAAAUGCGUAGAUAUCGUGAGGAAGACCAGUGGCGAAGGCGGAGUCUCUGGACAGCUCCUGGACGCUGAGGCGCGAAGGCUAGGGGAGCAAACGGGG